rnacentral:rRNA from 1 species
GACGAACGCUGGCGGCGUGGAUUAGGCAUGCAAGUCGAACGGUAUCAUCCUUUCGGGGGUGAGAGAGUGGCGAACUGGUGAGUAACACGUAGGUUAUCUACCCUCAAGAUGGGGGACAACCCAGGGGAAACUUGGGCUAAUACCGGAUGUGAGCAACUUUUAGUUGUUUGAAAGGUGGCGUAAGCUGUCGCUUGGGGAUGAGCCUGCGUCCUAUUAGUUAGUUGGUGAGGUAACGGCUCACCUAGGCAAUGAUAGGUAGGCGGCCUUAACGGGUGGUCGCCCACACUGGGAUUGAGAUACGGCCCAGACUCCUACGGGAGGCAGCAGUCGAGAAUAGUCUACAAUGGUCGGAAGACUGAUAGUGCGACGCCGCGUGAACGAUGAAUCCCUUCGGGGUGUAAAGUUCUUUUAUAUGUGAGCAGUGCUUCUUAUAUUAACAGUAUGGGGAGAGAGAUAUUAGCAUAUGAAUAAGCAACGGCUAACUCCGUG